rnacentral:rRNA from 1 species
GAUGAACGCUGGCGGCGUGCCUAAUACAUGCAAGUCGAGCGAACAGAUGAGGAGCUUGCUCCUCUGACGUUAGCGGCGGACGGGUGAGUAACACGUGGAUAACCUACCUAUAAGACUGGGAUAACUUCGGGAAACCGGAGCUAAUACCGGAUAAUAUAUUGAACCGCAUGGUUCAAUAGUGAAAGACGGUUUUGCUGUCACUUAUAGAUGGAUCCGCGCCGCAUUAGCUAGUUGGUAAGGUAACGGCUUACCAAGGCAACGAUGCGUAGCCGACCUGAGAGGGUGAUCCGCCACACUGGAACUGAGACACGGUCCAGACUCCUAAGGGAGGCAACAGUAGGGAAUCUUCCGCAAUGGGCGGAAGCCUGACGGAGCAACGGCGCGUGGGUGAUGGAGGUCUUCGGAUCGUAAAACUCUGUUUUUAGGGAAAAACAAAUGUGGAAGGAACUAGGCACGUCUUGACGGUACCUAAUCAGAAAGCCACGGCUAACUACGUG